GUCCUCCCAGUGCCCUCAAGAGAAAUGGACGCCCAGGGAAGAGACCGCUUCGAUCACGUGCAAACCAAAUAUCGCGAGGCCGUUCGAUUUUCCUCGCGGUUCCCGAUCUUUUCGGUUCCCGGGCUGCGGGGCGGAAGAGGUCUCGCGAUACGUGUCUUGGAGAGAGGAGCAUCUCGCGGGAUCCACGAGAGGUCCGGGGGAAGGCGGGUACCUCGGGGGCGGCGACGCGGGGAUAAGAUGGCGGACGAAGCGGAUAGCAACGGGGACGCUUCAGCCUUACCGGUGGGGAAGGAGGCAGUGGAUCGUAUGAUCAAAGAGAACAGCCACAUCUUCACAGAUGCCCAUUGUAAAGUGUGUAGUGCAGUGCUCAUCUCCGAGUCACAGAAGCUCGCUCAUUAUCAGAGUAAGAAACAUGCCAACAAAGUUCGUCGAUACAUGGCUAUCCAUGGUGAAGAGGAGGUCUGCUCAAGCAAGAAAAUAAAGCUGGACACAAAGCAGGAGGGCAGCAGUGAAGAAGACAGGAACAAAUGCUGCCCCAUCUGUAAUAUGACCUUUUCAUCGCCUGUUGUGGCUAACUCCCAUUACCUAGGCAAGACCCAUGCCAAGAAUCUGAAGCUGAAGCAGCAACCUCCUAAAGCAGAAGGUACAGAGGAAUUGUCUCCUGGUGCUGUGCUGAAAAGUCCAGCAGCUGUACCUGCUCAGAAACAACCAGCUAAUCCUCCUCCCACUACUGUGCCCUCUAAUGAAGAGAACCAAAACACUUCUGACCCAGACAAAUUCUGCAGUCUCUGCCAUGCCACAUUCAAUAAUCCCCUGAUGGCAAAACAACACUACGUGGGCAAGAAACACAAAAAGCAGGAGACUAAACUUAAGCUAAUGGCACACUAUGGGAGAAGCCCCGAUGAACCUGCAGCUUCAACAGAUCAAACCCAGGGGGAAACCCAGAACCAAAAUCUUACCAAGGACCAGGGAACUUAUCUAUGGAAGGAGAGCACAAAAAUACUCUUGCUGGGAAGGGAUAUCCAUGUGAAAGCUGUAACAUAGUACUGAACUCCAUAGAACAGUACCAAGCUCACAUCAGCGGCUUCAAACACAAGAACCAUAUACCAGGAGGAGUACCUGUUACAGCACGAUACCAGAAGCAGCUGUACACACGAGAGGAGACAACGGGCCCUGAUGGCUACAGCUAUUUUAGCCAAGACCUCUAGAGAGGAAGCUCCUGUGCUCUUUUUGGAUUGCCGAUGGCCCAAAAGUGAACAUCGCUUAUCAACCCACUACGGUUUUAUUGUUCCUCUGGCUGAAUGAAACCCUCCUAUCCUGCAGUGUGCAAGUUUAGCUGAUUCAGAACUAACUAUUGGCUAAAGGAUCUAGAAGGGACUGAUAUACUAGUUGGCAUUUGCAAAGACCUUUAGAAUAGUUUUCAUUGUGUAAUCUCUUGCUGUAAUGGCUGAUGGGUGAGGUGGGAAGGAGAAGGAAUGGUGUCUGGCACAAGUAAGACUUGGCCCCUACCAGUGUUCUAUCUCGAGCCCAUCCUUUUCCUCUGCCCAGAAGAAGCAGACGGGAGUUCUACACCCACUACCAGCCAGAGAAGAGCAACUUUUGGAAGAAAGUUCAUAAUUUUUGGUUAUGGGGUGCUUGUUAAAUGUGAGGUGUGGAAUGGGCAUAAUGGACAGACUGAUGAUCUCCUCCUUGCCUAGAAAUGGGGUGUUACACCGCUGUGUUUGUCGUGCCCCUUUCUGAAUUAACUGGGUUUGUGUGCAGAGUUUCUUAGGUCACCAAUAUGCCAUUUGCAUCCUUUUUGUAGUUCUGCAGAUGUUGGUUCUGGAACAUCUGGUAAUCUGUUUAAUAAAAAGCUGUUUCUGUUGGUAGUAUGCAUAAUCUGCUUCAGAAAAGCAAGCAGAAGGAGUGCCUCCAGAAAACUGCACUUCUCCCUCAGUUCCUGGCAUACUUGUGGAAACUUGUGCUUUUGAGUCUCACUAUGUACAGCUUUCUGUUGUGUUAAAUGUUCAUCAGAAAUCUUUUUUUGGUAUGAUGGAAGGUUUAAAAAAAUGUCGUUUUUCAGAACCUUAAAGCUUUAUAAUUAAUUUGUACAAAGGUUUAGCAAGGGUGAGAGAACAAGCAGCUAUGGUCUGACUUUGAGGCAAUUCUAAGCUGAAAAAUAGUGCUUUGUAUAGCGUUGUGGGCCUCCCACUUGUGAACUUUGCAAGUCCAUUAACUAGUUUCCAUCCAUGUGAAACCAUUUCUCAGAGACAAGACAUUCUUUCCAAUUGCUUCCUGAGACUCUGAAAACAACAUAGGUAGCAGCUGGGAAUGCUGCUCGAGGCAAACUUACUAUGCUUUGUUUGGACAGAGGUAAAAUUAGUUUGCAUUUUGGUCAUUUCCUUUUCCCUUGUAUGGAUAUAAGAAGGUAAGCUUGAAGUCUCCUAACAUCUGAGUUUGUUUCAAGUCUGCCAGAUGGCCUGUUUCCAAAACAAUCAGUUGAAAUGCUAAUCUUAUUUGUAAAAAAAACCACCACUCACAUAAGCAUAAAGGCAAGAGAUGUGAGAUACUCCUCUCUUGCCUAGCUCAUCGUUAAACUGCUUUUCUACUCUGGUUCAAAACAGGAUGUGGCUCUUUUUUUCCUUAGUGCUUCUCCCUUCCUACCUAAUUGCUUCAGUGUUAUUGAUCAAAAUGGACAUUCAUUAAAACUGGACACCUUGUA